CUUCUGAGAGCUCUUUUGUGUGAGGCAUCAUUCACAUCAGGCAAUGCUUCUUGUGAAAAGCAAACCCAGAACUGGUGUGUGUUUUUUAUAGGGCAGGGCAGCUGUAACCAACACCUCCAAUCUCAUCUUAUUGAUUGGACUCCAGUUGGCUGACAUCUCACUCCAAUUAGCUCUUGGAGAUGUCAUUAGUCUAGGGGUUCACAUACUUUUUCCACCUGCACUGUGAAU